rnacentral:rRNA from 1 species
GAUGAACGCUGGCGGCGUGCCUAAUACAUGCAAGUCGAGCGAAUGGAUUAAGAGCUUGCUCUUAUGAAGUUAGCGGCGGACGGGUGAGUAACACGUGGGUAACCUGCCCAUAAGACUGGGUUAACUCCGGGAAACCGGGGCUAAUACCGGAUAACAUUUUGAACCGCAUGGUUCGAAAUUGAAAGGCGGCUUCGGCUGUCACUUAUGGAUGGACCCGCCUCGCAUUAGCUAGUUGGUGAGGUAACGGCUCACCAAGGCAACGAUGCGUAGCCGACCUGAGAGGGUGAUCGGCCACACUGGGACUGAGACACGGCCCAGACUCCUACGGGAGGCAGCAGUAGGGAAUCUUCCGCAAUGGACGAAAGUCUGACGGAGCAACGCCGCGUGAGUGAUGAAGGCUUUCGGGUCGUAAAACUCUGUUGUUAGGGAAGAACAAGUGCUAGUUGAAUAAGCUGGCACCUUGACGGUACCUAACCAGAAAGCCACGGCUAACUACGUGCCAGCAGCCGCAGUAA